UGGAACUAGGAUAAGUAUCCUUAAUGUCCUAGGCAUCUUUCUGCUUUGACUGAAUCUCUUGUCUCUAUCCUUGAAAUUGGGGAGCCAUGAUGACAGCUGGUCCUCCCUGCAGUUUGAAGUCCUUGCUAAUGACCUAACUGUAAUCUUCAGACCUAUCAAUAAGGAUCCUACAGCUUCUCUCAGCCCAGCAAGGAGGAAGAAACAAUGUGUUCUGGAGGGAAUUACCAGCUAGAAGUUGAUUUUCACCUCUUGCCAUAGCGCUUGGAAAUUCACACAUCCUCACCCAGAUGUUUUCCCUAUAAAUUGGAGCUCCACAGAGAUUAACAUACAAGACUGCUUUCAUUGAUUCUAUUUCCUGGCAUCUGCAUUCAAGAAAUCACAUUGCACAGAGACUCAAAGACCUGGAUGUCAGGAUCUAUUAUGGGCUUAGCCAUUUGGAUGUGCUCACGUGGGACUCUGAAGUGAUGGAGGGGCAAUGCAGAGACGCAGUAACCAUCAGAGGUACUGGCAGAGAGAAAAUGCCAGGAAGUGUCCGUUGACACCAAAUGCCAAACUCAUCAUCCUGAUCCUGUGUAAACAUGGGGGCACCCUAUGUUGCAAACUAGUUUUUAUUCCAUCCAUCCUUCCAAUAACACCUUUU